GUCCAGCUCUCAAGGUAGUGGGGACCAUGUCGGUUGGAUACGACCACAUCGAUGUGGAUGAAUGCCAAAAAAGACGGAUUUCAGUAGGUAAUACGCCGCACGAGCUGACAGAUUCAACGGCUGAGCUGGGAAUAGCCCUGCUUUUGGCGACGCGCAGACGACUUUUUGAGGCCCGCAGUCAGAUCGACAGCGGAGCGUGGGCAGCACAGACCUCCUGGAG